rnacentral:rRNA from 1 species
UACGUAGGGUGCAAGCGUUGUCCGGAAUUAUUGGGCGUAAAGAGCUCGUAGGCGGUCUGUCGCGUCGGCUGUGAAAUCCCGGAGCUCAACUCCGGGUCUGCAGUCGAUACGGGCGAACUGGAGUACUGCAGGGGAGACUGGAAUUCCUGGUGUAGCGGUGAAAUGCGCAGAUAUCAGGAAGAACACCCGUGGCAAGGCGGGCUCUC